GCAAGUCGAACGAGAACGGGUAUUACCUUCCUUAUACUGUCUGCUAGGUGGCGGACGGGUGAUAAUAUAUAAAUAACCUGCCCUGGAGAAGGGGAUAACGUUUGGAAACGGACGCUAACACCCAAUAAUCCUUAAGUACAUAAGAUUGCAAGGGAUACAAUUCUGGCGUUAGGAUGGGCCUGGGCGGGAUCAGUUAGUUGGUGAGGUAAUGGCUCACCAAGACGAUGACCCUAGCUGGUUGAGAGGAUGAUC
rnacentral:rRNA from 1 species